rnacentral:misc_RNA from 1 species
UGUGAGAGGGGGCUUGCUCCCGAUAGCAUCAGUCAGUACAUCUGUUGACUGAAUCACCGCUAUCGGGAGCAAGCCCCCUCCCACA